GGCGGCGGUGCUCACCCGGCCGAGCAACGCGCUCGUCAAGCAGUACAUGAAGCUGUUCGCCGUGGACGGCGUGGACCUCGCGUUCACGCGCGAGGCGGUGCGGGCGAUCGCCGCCACCGCCA
rnacentral:tRNA from 1 species